UGUGAAGCCAUGUUCUAUAGUAAAGUUCCUCAAGAGUUUGAAAUCCUGCAUGUUAUAGCCCCACCAAAAGUGAAUUUUGACUUGGUCUUGUAUUGAAAGCUAUUAAAUACAAUUAAUAUAAAUCAACAAUUAUAGCACAUUGUUUUGUUAUUUCUAAAAGAAGACUCCUGAAACCAUUUGUUUCAUAGUUUAGACAAUGAACACUCUAUAUAUUUAUAGGAUUCCUCUUAGAAAACCAAAUGGAGAAAACAAAAACAGUGGACACACUAUAGCUAAGGGAAGAUAGAAAAUUUUUGGGACCUACACCAUCAGACGGAGACGCAACUGCUUUUAUUCACCAAAGGUAAUCCACACAAAUUUCAAAGCCGAUAAUUCAUUUAGAAUUAACUGUAACAAACACAAGCAUUUUCUAGCAUUUCAGUUUGUCAGAAAUUUUUAGAAAAAUCGUUUUAGCAUGGCACGAAAAUUGUAAAUUUAUAUGAAAAACCAAUUCAAGAGAGCAAAUAGUACUUUCACAUACCAGGAUACUGUAGAGAAGACCAAAAGAUUGACUCACCUUGAUUUAUAAAAAUAUCAUAGAACAUCUCAAAUUUAUUAAAGAAGGCAGCCAUGACAUCUUCUCUUCUAAACUCAUUAGGAGUAGUAGAAAGCUCUUUUAGUACUGUAUUCAAACAUGUUGUUGGUUUCUCAUUACCAACAUUAAAA
rnacentral:lncRNA from 1 species